rnacentral:rRNA from 1 species
UACAGAGGUCUCAAGCGUUGUUCGGAUUCACUGGGCGUAAAGGGUGCGUAGGCGGUCGGGUAAGUCUGAUGUGAAAUCUUCAAGCUUAACUUGGAAACUGCAUCGGAUACUAUUCGGCUAGAGGAAUGGAGGGGAGACUGGAAUACUUGGUGUAGCAGUGAAAUGCGUAGAUAUCAAGUGGAACACCAGUGGCGAAGGCGAGUCUCUGGACAUUUCCUGACGCUGAGGCACGAAAGCCAGGGGAGCAAACGGG